ACACCUUUCCUCCGGUGAAGACGCUACUAGAAAGCAACAAGGACUGGUUGAAAGCUGUGAGAGAGAGAGUUAAGCCGCAUGACAGCGAGCUUCUCAAGAUACCUCCGAUUGGUUUUAGAAAGGGAUAGACCAUUUGAAUCUGACCCUGGUGG